CUUCAACGAGCCCAGCCACAAGGGCUCUUCGCGGUCCUGACCGUAGGUGGCCAGCAGCGCCUGCGCCUC
rnacentral:antisense_RNA from 1 species